AUAUAUAUAUAUAUAUAUAUAUAUAUAUAUGCAGAGAAUAUCAGACUGUGAAUUACAAAUAUCACAACUGUGAAGUGCUGAUGUGGGCAAGUUUUGUUUAACAUAUUAACACCGAAAUAUUGUUUGAGUGUUUGGUUUGACGUUUGUCGUUCAUAUUUAAAGGUCAUGGCUGGUGUGUUCAAGAAGCAAAACACCUUCAAUUUGUUAUUGUAAAAGUGAAUUAUUUGUCCUUGAAUUGUAAAUGCCUGUGUUGCUGUUUACUGGAUUAUUAUACCUUUGAGAGAUGUUUAUGAACUUGAAUAAAAAUUGUAUUUA